GACGAACGCUGGCGGCGUGCUUAACACAUGCAAGUCGAACGGAAAGGCCCUGCUUUUGUGGGGUGCUCGAGUGGCGAACGGGUGAGUAACACGUGAGUAACCUGCCCUUGACUUUGGGAUAACUUCAGGAAACUGGGGCUAAUACCGGAUAGGAUCUCCUGCUGCAUGGUGGGGGUUGGAAAGUUUCGGCGGUUGGGGAUGGACUCGCGGCUUAUCAGCUUGUUGGUGGGGUAGUGGCUUACCAAGGCUUUGACGGGUAGCCGGCCUGAGAGGGUGACCGGCCACAUUAGUACUGAGAGACGGACCAGACUCCAACGGGAGGCAGCAGGGGGGAAUAUUGCACAAUGGGCGGAAGCCUGAUGCAGCGACGCCGCGUGCGGGAAGACGGCCUUCGGGUUGAAAACCGCUUUCGCCUGUGACGAAGCGUGAGUGACGGUAAUGGGUAAAGAAGCACCGGCUAACUACGUG
rnacentral:rRNA from 1 species